GCACAACAUUUAGGGGAGAAAAAAAGAGAAAAGGGUAGUAAUUUGGGAAAAUCUUGCCCUUUAAGGCUGUCCACGCAGUGCCCUUGGGGAGCAGCAGGCCCCAUGCUGAGGGGGGCAGCAGGGGGUGGUGGCAGUGGUGACAGACUGGGCAGCUGCAGCCCGGCCAGAGGAGCAGUGCUCACCCUGCCGUGGCCAUGUGGGGCUUCCAGAGGGGCUCCCGGCUCCUGGCCACCCUGCUGCGGACCCCCCGGGCCCAGCUCUCCUCCAAGCCCCCCGAACACCCACUCUCUGCUGCUGAACAAGCCAUUGCCCUCUCCGUCAUGUUCGUGUCCUUCCUGGCACCCACAGCCUGGAUCCUGGCACACGUGGAGUACUACAAGAGCAGGACAGAGUGAGAGGAACCACCCGAGAGCUGCAGCAUGAGGAGGUGACCACAGGACAGGUCUUCACCGGGAAUGAACUCUCUGGGUUGGGUCAUUAAAGCUCACAUUAGCAGUAA